rnacentral:rRNA from 1 species
ACGCAGGCGGAAAAUUAAGUCAGUAGUGAAAUCCUGCAGCUUAACUGUAGAACUGUUAUUGAUGCUGGUUUUCUUGAAUAUAGUUGAGGUAGGCGGAAUGUGUAAUGUAGCGGUGAAAUGCUUAGAUAUUACACAGAACACCGAUUGCGAAGGCAGCUUACUAAGCUAUGAUUGACGCUGAGGUACGAAAGCGUGGGGAGCGAACAGGAUUAGAUACCCUGGUAGUCCACGCCGUAAACGAUGAUCACUCGUUGUUGGCAAUACACUGUCAGCGACUGAGCGAAAGCAUUAAGUGAUCCACCUGGGGAGUACGCUCGCAAGAGUGAAACUCAGAGGAAUUGACGGGGGCCCGCACAAGCGGAGGAACAUGUGGUUUAAUUCGAUGAUACGCGAGGAACCUUACCUGGGCUUAAAUGUAAAACGACGGAUCGGGAAACUGAUCUUUCUUAGGACGCUUUGCAAGGUGCUGCAUGGCUGUCGUCAGCUCGUGCCGU